rnacentral:rRNA from 1 species
AUUGAACGCUGGCGGCAGGCCUAACACAUGCAAGUCGAGCGGAUGAAGGGAGCUUGCUCCUGGAUUCAGCGGCGGACGGGUGAGUAAUGCCUAGGAAUCUGCCUGGUAGUGGGGGAUAACGUCCGGAAACGGGCGCUAAUACCGCAUACGUCCUGAGGGAGAAAGUGGGGGAUCUUCGGACCUCACGCUAUCAGAUGAGCCUAGGUCGGAGUAGCUAGUUGGUGGGGUAAAGGCCUACCGAGGCGACGAUCCGUAACUGGUCUGAGAGGAUGAUCAGUCACACUGGAACUGAGACACGGUCCAGACUCCUACGGGAGGCAGCAGUGUGGAAUAUUGGACAAUGGGCGAAAGCCUGAUCCAGCCAUGCCGCGUGUGUGAAGAAGGUCUUCGGAUUGUAAAGCACUUUAAGUUGGGAGGAAGGGCAGUAAGUUAAUACCUUGCUGUUUUGACGUUACCAACAGAAUAAGCACCGGCUAACUUCGUG